CGGGUGUGUGCUAUUUUGGGCCGUCAUGCUCACAAAGGGGCAUCGGGGGUCCAUUAACUGGUUAUCGCCCUUACAGAUUACCAGAAGAGUUCCGUAGAGAGAGAAAGAGCGAAGAAGAGAGAGAAAGCAUGACGACGAUUCGUAGAUUCAGCUGCAAUGACCUUCUUCGCUUCGCGUCAGUGAAUUUGGAUCAUCUUACUGAAACUUUCAACAUGUCAUUUUAUAUGACUUACAUGGCAAGAUGGCCGGAUUAUUUCCAUGUUGCAAAAGCUCCUGGCGGCCACAUCAUGGGAUACAUUAUGGGAAAAGUUGAAGGGCAAGGU